AGGCUAUGAUGUAUGAAUUUCUUCAACUGAACAACCGUGUGGUUACAAAUGAGCUUUUUAACCCUGAGCAAA
ensembl:snoRNA SNORD36 Small nucleolar RNA SNORD36